GCAGGACAAGAUCUCCCAACUGAGUCGUAAUGCCGCGGACCUCGCCUCAGGCCUGGCGACAGAGCAGCGAGAGCGUGUACGGCAGAGCGAGGA
rnacentral:SRP_RNA from 1 species